GAUGAACGCUGGCGGCGUGCCUAAUACAUGCCAGUCGAGCGAACGGACGAGAAGCUUGCUUCUCUGAUGUUAGCGGCGGACGGGUGAGUAACACGUGGAUAACCUACCUAUAAGACUGGGAUAACUUCGGGAAACCGGAGCUAAUACCGUAUGAUAUUUUGAACCGCAUGGUUCAAUAGUGAAAGACGGUCUUGCUGUCACUUAUAGAUGGAUCCGCGCUGCAUUAGCUAGUUGGUAAGGUAACGGCUUACCAAGGCAACGAUGCAUAGCCGACCUGAGAGGGUGAUCGGCCACACUGGAACUGAGACACGGUCCAGACUCCUACGGGAGGCAGCAGUAGGGAAUCUUCCGCAAUGGGCGAAAGCCUGACGGAGCAACGCCGCGUGAGUGAUGAAGGUCUUCGGAUCGUAAAACUCUGUUAUUAGGGAAGAACAUAUGUGUAAGUAACUGUGCACAUCUUGACGGUACCUAAUCAGAAAGCCACGGCUAACUACGUG
rnacentral:rRNA from 1 species